CUAGAACUGAUUAACAAAGGACUAAGUCCCAUUGGUUACUCAACAUGAGGCAAGUUCACAGCCAAGUCCUCACCUUAGUUUUUUGCAGAAGUAGAUCUGGAUCUAGGUUUGGGGAACAGUCACUUCUCGAGAUCUGAUUUGAGAAUCGGAUUCACACAAGAGAGAGAUGGGUUUAGAAUCUGUCAUUUUCCAAUGACUUAGAGCUAGAGAUCUUAGUUUUACCUUUAGGGUUCAGAUCUCAGUUGCUUGCACGAAACUGAAUCAAGGAGGCGGCGGCUAGGAGCUCGGUUGCGGCGGCUAGGGUUCGCGGGCGGCUGGCGGCUGGCUUCGCCGGAGAUGGAGCGGCGGCGGCUUGAGGCGGAGGCGGCGGCGGGGUUCUGCUCAGGCAGGGCUUCGCUUGCUGUCUCUCUUGUGGCUGAACCCUAGGGAAACUUCUCCUUUUAUAAGCAAUGGGAGGGGUUAUGUCUAGGGUUUCUUCUCCUUGGACCUCCUGCACUUGAGUUUCCUUUUGGGGCGGGCCCGGGAUGUUACAGUUACAAUUAAGUGUUCAGCGAGAAGAAGCAAUUACACAAGACACAUGCAAACAGCAGUUUCUGAUCAGAUUUUCUCACGUAUAGCACAAGCAACAACUUCAAAGGAGCCGUGGGAUUCAUUGAAAUCUGAGUAUCAGGGGACUCCACAGGUACGAUUGAUCAAGUUACAAUCGAUAAGGAGAGAGUACGAAAAUAUGAGAAUGAAUGACAGAGAUAACAUCAAAGCAUUCACGGACAAGUUAAUCGAUUUGGGAAAUCGGUUGAGAGUUCACGGAGAAGAAAAGACAGACUAUCAGAUUGUCCAGAAGAUUCUCAUAUCUCUUCCAGAAAAGUUCGAUAGCAUUGUGGCAGUAUUGGAGCAAACGAAACGCGUGUGGGUACUCUGGAAGCACACGAAACGCGUGUGGCUGCCCGAGAUGAUAAUAUGACAGAAGGGGCAUUCAAUGUUAGAACAAGAGGAGGAAAGGUUGGUUUCAAACGAGAAAACAACAUAAGCCGUACGCAUGAAGGCAAAGGCAAAAAGUGGUGUAGAUUCUGCAAAAAGAAUAAUCACACAAAAUCUUAUUGUUGGAAGAAAGCUAAGAAGCGUGAUAAAGGCAGAAGUCUAAGAAAUAGGGAAUGUUACAAUUGUGGCAAAAUCGGCCACUUCUCUAGAGAAUGUAACUCUACGAGGUAUGAAAGGGCGCAUAUGACCAUUGAAGAUGAAGAUGUGGAAGAACACAUGAUGUUUAGUGCAAUCGAAGAAGCACAUACGACAAGAAGAGAAGAUGUUUGGUUAGUUGACAGUGGGUGUACGUACUAACCAUAUGACGAAAGAAGCAAGAUAUUUCACAAGACUUGAUAGCAGUAUCAGUGUUCCAAUAAGAGUUGGGAAUGGUGAAGUUGUUAUGACAGCAGGAAAAGGUGACAUCACUGUCAUGACAAACAAAGGGAAAAGAACCAUAAAGGAUGUGUUUCUGGUACCCGGUUUGGAGAAGAAUGUGAUGAAGAAAGGAGAAGACAUUCUGAUUGUGAGUUUGUACGUGGAUGAUAUCAUCAUCACUGGAAACAACUCUCAUCUCAUCGACAAAUUCAAGACUGAUAUGAAGAAGGAGUUCGAGAUGACAGAUUUGGGGUUACUCAAUUAUUUUCUUGGAAUGGAAAUAAUUCAAGAUGAACAUGAUUUGGGGUUACUCAGAUCUCCACCGUACCAUCAAACACUCCUCGCCUACCAGAAGCAACUACUGUGAAGUUUCAUAUAUGUUUCCUAGAAUACAUGUAAACCAAAGUUGACUACACCAUCUGUUAUUGACAAUUCACCUGAAAGUAAAAAAGCUUUCAUCUUCAAACCGAGCUUACGGCACAUAAAUGUCUCUUCAUCAAGUUUAUUAGUGGAUUCUGUAUUUGGGACAAUCAAAGCCCAUGAUCCUCUUAAACGUGCCUGUACUUAGAGAUGGCAAUGUUGGACUUGGACCGCGGGCUUGGCCCGCAAAAUCUUGUAGGCGGGGCGAUGUUGGACCUUGUAUAUGUAGUCCCAUAAAAUUGCGGGACUCGCAGGACAGAUUGUUGCAGUAUUGAGCUUCAGCAGAAUGGGCCCAAGCGGUUCAUGCGAGAGAAGAAAGACCCACAACUCUUAUUGCUUCACUUCAGUUUCACCUGAAAAAAACGUGCGAGAGAGAGAUAAUGAAAAGGUGAUUCAGUUCUACUUCCACCGACAAAACUGUAGGACCUCCAGCGAUGAAGAGUCGAGCUCUGACGGUUGUUCUGGUCUUCACGUCGCCUCUACCUGCAGCAGCUAAGCUUCACGUCGUGAGCGAUGAGCUGUGUUGAUGGCCACUUCAACCGAUAGAUGCUUGUAGCUCCGGAGACGAUGUGACCUCUGAGGGUUCUUCCUUGCUCCCCUUCGUCCUGGAUCUACAUGCAUGCAACGAAACUCACAGACUCAAGUGUAGAUCGACCAUGAAUGUAGUCUAUGACCAACAAGACCAAAUAGAUCUAUGUUUAAUGAUUGUGUCAGACCGUUAGAUCGAUGCAGUAGAAGACCGUAGGCCGACCUGCAAAGGCCUACAUAUAUUGCGGGGCGGGUUUGGUCUUCCAUUUCGGAGACUGUAUCCCGCGCGGGCCUGACCCGCUGGGAUCCACUUGAAGAAGAACCCGCUACAAUACUGGAUGGAACAACAUGUUUGUCAUCUCUACCUGUACUCUUCUAAUAGAAAACACAAGAUUUAUUUAUAUGCAUGAGCUGUGUUUUUUCUAAGACUGUGGAACUCAGUGGACGUAGUCAAGCUUGUUGUAGUCUAGUGGUAUAUUGUUUUGGGGAAAAGGUUAUGUAUCCUCUCUUGAUCCACCAAAUCUACUUCUCGUGCAAAAAAAAAUAUUUCCACAGUAGAAAA